UGGGGAAUAUUGGGCAAUGGGCGAAAGCCUGACCCAGCAACGCCGCGUGAAGGAAGAAGGCCUUCGGGUUGUAAACUUCUUUGACCAGGGAAGAAGAAGUGACGGUACCUGGAAAACAAGCCACGGCUAACUACGUGCCAGCAGCCGCGGUAAUACGUAGGUGGCAAGCGUUGUCCGGAUUUACUGGGUGUAAAGGGCGUGUAGGCGGGAUUGCAAGUCAGAUGUGAAAUGCCGGGGCUUAACCCCGGAGCUGCAUUUGAAACUGUAGUUCUUGAGUGAUGGAGAGGCAGGCGGAAUUCCUAGUGUAGCGGUGAAAUGCGUAGAUAUUAGGAGGAACACCAGUGGCGAAGGCGGCCUGCUGGACAUUAACUGACGCUGAGGCGCGAAAGCGUGGGGAGCAAACAGG
rnacentral:rRNA from 3 species